rnacentral:rRNA from 1 species
UACGUAGGGGGCAAGCGUUGUCCGGAUUUAUUGGGCGUAAAGAGCGUGUAGGCGGCCAGGUAGGUCAGCUGUGAAAACUCGAGGCUCAACCUCGAGACGUCGGUUGAAACCGUUUGGCUAGAGUCCGGAAGAGGAGAGUGGAAUUCCCGGUGUAGCGGUGAAAUGCGCAGAUAUCGGGAAGAACACCCGUGGCGAAGGCGGCUCUCUGGGACGGUACUGACGCUGAGACGCGAAAGCGUGGGGAGCGAACAGG